ACGAACGCUGGCGGCGUGCUUAACACAUGCAAGUCGAACGGUGAAGCUCCAGCUUGCUGGAGUGGAUCAGUGGCGAACGGGUGAGUAACACGUGAGCAACCUGCCCCUGACUCUGGAAUAAGCGCUGGAAACGGCGUCUAAUACUGGAUACGAGAAGGGUCCGCAUGGACACUUUCUGGAAAGUUUUUCGGUUGGGGAUGGGCUCGCGGCCUAUCAGCUUGUUGGUGAGGUAAUGGCUCACCAAGGCGACGACGGGUAGCCGGCCUGAGAGGGCGACCGGCCACACUGGGACUGAGACACGGCCCAGACUCCUACGGGAGGCAGCAGUGGGGAAUAUUGCACAAUGGGCGAAAGCCUGAUGCAGCGACGCCGCGUGAGGGAUGACGGCCUUCGGGUUGUAAACCUCUUUCAGCAGGGAAGAAGCGAAAGUGACGGUACCUGCAGAAGAAGCACCGGCUAACUACGUG
rnacentral:rRNA from 1 species